UCCUUCAAUCCUUCGAGGAAACAGCGACCUUUUGCUCCAAACAUAAGUCAAAGUGAUACGAGCAGAGAUAAGAAUCUCGCACCUUUAAUCGAUGAGCCUGAAAGUGAUAAUGAUAGUCGGCCGGAUGAAAAUAAACAAACUGCAAAGAUUGCCGAAAUAAAAGAGCAAGAUGAGGUGUCAGAUGCUGAAAUUUCUACCGAAUCCACUCCAGCGAUAUCAGUAUCUCACUUUGAGAAUGAUGGAGAUAAGCCAAGUGGAGUUGGCAAGACUGAUGAGGAAAACUUUAGAGAAAAGGAAGAAAAGUCACAAGAUGAAGUGUCGAGGGUGGCUCAGACUACAUCGUUACCAGAUAGCUCAGAAAGUCAAAAUAAUUCUGAGUUACCAUCAAACAGUCCAA
rnacentral:lncRNA from 1 species